AGGCCUGCCCAUCAGAGGAGAUGCCAUGGCCACAAAGGUGGUUUUCCUAGAGUGAGGUUCGUUCAUUGCACUCUGGGUGUGCUGAACCAUCCAAUUUCCCCAAAAGCAGGAAACGUAACUGCAUAAUUUAUGGUGGAAGGGGACUGCAUUCAUGCUUUCUCCUA
rnacentral:snRNA from 1 species